rnacentral:rRNA from 1 species
UACAGAGGGUGCAAGCGUUGUUCGGAAUUAUUGGGCGUAAAGCGAGCGUAGGCGGUUCUCGUAAGUCGGUGUGAAAGCCCUCGGCUCAACCGAGGAAGUGCACCCGAACUCGACGAGACUUGAGUGUCGGAGAGGGUGGACGGAAUUCCCGGUGUAGAGGUGAAAUUCGUAGAUAUCGGGAGGAACACCAGUGGCGAAGGCGGUCACCUGGACGAUAACUGGACGCUGAGGCUCGAAAGCGUGGGAGC